CCUUGGCCCAUCUGCCCGCUGACCACAGAUCCGAGGAAGCCAAAUCAGGAUCAACCAAACCUGGCCCAAGUUAGCAGCACUGCCCGGCUGAGCCAUAGACCUGUGAGCAAAAGCAAAUGCCUGUCGUGGUUCCCUUCACCUUUCCUGCCCAGAAUGUCCAUUCAUUCAUUCGACAAAUUCACGUUGAUGCUUAAAUUGUGCAAGGCACUGCUUCAGGCCCUAAGGACAUAAAAUGGUGCAAUGAGGAGCCUGUGGAGAAUUUAAAGCAAAGGAGGAACAGGAUCUGACCUACAUGAGUCUGAACCAUCAGGAAGGAUGGGCCAACAAGAGUAGAAGGAGGGAGAUCAUUUAGGAGGCUCUUGCGGUCACACAGGUAAGAGAUGUUGGAGGCCUGGAGCACCAUGGGGGCCACAGGGAUGGUGAGAGGUACACAGGCGCUGGGGAGGUCUCAAAGCAACCGUCAUCUACAGGUCUGCAGUUGGGCUGAAUGGAGGAGAAAAGCAAGGGGCCAAGGAAGAUUCCUAGGACUAGACUAGCCACAGAGGUGCCAUUUACUGAGACAGAGGACACAGGGGCAGGAGCAUAUUUAUGGGAGAAAAACAAGAUUUCAGUGCUGGACAUUAAAAGUUUGAGAGGCCUCUUCAACAUCUAAGGGAAUAUGACUAUAAAGCAAUACAUAACAGAGUAUAUGAGUGUGGGUUUCCAAAAUGGACCAGGGCUUAAGAAUAGGGGUAUACAUUUGAGAGACAUGACUCUAACGAUGGUAUUUAAAGCCACAGAACUGGAUGAGAUUCCCCAAAGUAAGGAUGUGGAUGGAGAAGAAGAGGAGUCAAGGUGCAGAUCCCGAGGCAAAGCAACACUUAGGGGUCCAGCCAAGGAUUCUAAGGAAGAAAAGCCAGUAGAGAAAAACCAAGAGGGUAUGAAAUUACAAAAGCCAAGAGAGUGUUAAGCAAUGAGGGUAUGACUUACAACUGCUACAGUCACUGGGCUUACUUCACAAGAACACCAUUAUCAGGAAACCAGCAUUAUACCCAAUCACCCACCUGUCAACCCCAGGAGCCAUUUCAGCAUUCACUCCUCAGAUAUAUCAGUGUUAUGGGUCGCACUGUGUCAAUAAAAUAAGUUAUGUUGGAGUCCUCACCCCGGUAUCUCAGAAUGAGACCUAAUUUAGAGAUGGGGUCUUUACAGAGGUAAUCCAGUUACAAUGCGGCCAUCAAGGUGGGUCCUAAUUCAAUAUGGCCAGUGUCUUAUAAAAAGAGGACAACAGAGAUACACCCAACGCCCAGGGAGACCGCCAACGUGAAAACAAAGGUCGAGAUCAGGUUGAUGGAGCAGAUGACAAGGAACACCAAAGAUGGUCAGCCAACCACCAGAAGCCGGGAGACAGGCAAACACCGACUCUCGCUCGCGGCCUCAUGGCCUUCGGAAGGGCGCCAUGUCUCAAUUUUAGGCCUCUCGUCAGAAUUCCGAGAAAAUAAAUUUCUGUUAAGCCACCCAGUUUGCGACACUUUGGCCAGGCAGCUUCAGCAAACAAUACAGGCCUUCAGCACGCUGUCACAGCAGGGGUCUCCUCUCCGGGUGGGCAAAACACAAGCUAGGUUUCUGGGACGGUGUUAGCCACUGUGGGAUCCCUCCGUGGGCUUUGUGCUCAGGGUUUGGAAGUGGAACAGUGUCGCCAGCCCUUGUAAGAACACUUGAAACACAAUCACACGAGGUGAGUAGUGUGAAGGCUACAAGCUUUAGGGUAAAAAUGAAGCAAUAUGCUGGAGGGAAGCAAAUCGGAGGGAGCAUGUCUAGUCAAUACGGAAGAAGCGAGGAAACCUGCCAUAAAAGAAAGCAUCAUUGUUCAUGUGGCGUUCGGCCCCCAGAAGUAACCCCAGAUGGGGGGGGAAGGUCCCCCUCCACUCUGCCUGCCCAAAUGAGAGAUGGCUUGUUUGGACAAUGUACACACUUCAAAAGCCUCCUCUUUCACUCUGCCUAUUUCUGUUCCCACAAGGCCCACAGUUUCUCUUUUUAUCCUAAAUUUAUAAAAUGCCAAAGAAAAUAUGACUUUUUAGAAGAUUCAAAAUCUGGAAAGUACCCUUAAGGUAUUGCAGUUAAGCUGUUUUUGAUGAUAAGGAGCAGAUACCCGCAAAUGCGUUCAACUCGGAUUGGGGGCCAGGGGACUGAAGUCAGGAAGCCCCAUGAGGUAGUAAGAGAGACAUUCUGUUGAAACCAAGAUCUUCUGUAAUAAAAAUAGAUCACACUUACACAGCAUGCCAGGCACCCUGAUAAAUGCUUUAUGUGUGUUAGCUGAUUUCUUCCUCACAAUAGCCCUUUGAGGGAGAUACUGUACUUCUCCCCAUUAUACAGAUGAGGAAGCCAAGGUAAAAACAAAACAAAACAAAGAGUAAGUGCCAAGGUUAAAAGCUAGCAAGUAAGGAGCCAGGAUUUGAACCAAAAUGGGCAGGCUUCAAGGAAUGUUCCUUUAAGUACAGGUUUAUGCUACUCCAUGGGAAUCCAAAUGGAAUGGAAGCAGAUUAAGGAUUUUCCCUUUCUCCCUCCUUCCGUCUAACUUUCUCCCCACUUCCUUCUCUCUCUCCUUCUCUCCCUCCACCCUCCUCUUUCCACUCUUCUCUUUACACCUCCCUCUGACUCUCUUAGUAUUUCUCUUCCCCCUCUUUUAUGUGUGUACUCUGUUCUCCUUUGCCUACUAACUAGUUUAUUCUUUCUGUAUGCUCUGUGUUGCCUUUUUGUACCCAACAGCUUCUACUUAAUCCUAACUCCUACUCCCUUGUACCUACAGCCUGGACAUGGCCCACUUUGGCUACUCCAAACUCACAUUGGUCACUACCUCACUGGGAUUUCUUAAGAAUCCCAGCGCACAAAGUCCAAUUGGCUCUGUCCAUGAGCUGCCCCCCAAUCCAAAUGGCUAUGGCUACCUACUGAGUCACAGGGAACGAAAUAUGGCGGCCCACUCAGGGCAGCCACCAAGAAUGAUGCCUAGUAAGCAAAGCAUCACCUUCAUUUUUGACAGAAAAACUGUCUACUGAUCACGUCUGUCACAGAUAAGCCUGCCAGCCAAGUCCCCACCGCUCCCUGGCCCAUGCCCGAGCAUACGAUGCCCCUGGUAUAAUAAUGCUCACGCAUGCUGUGCAUCUCUGUGCGAUGUGGGUAGCUGAUUGCAAGUGAAUAAAUGAGAAUCUUGUCUGGCUCCUUCGAGAGAAGACAAAUGGGCUGGAGUUGCGAGGCAUAUCGGAGAGAAGGGGAACCCAGGCAUCAGGAGGAGGCAAAAGACAGAGAAUCACAUCGUUCCGUGAAACUCAUCAGAGAUCUGCCUCUUCGACAAAGCAAGGUCUCCAUCUGUCUUGGGAGUAAAAGCUGGACACCGGAAAAGAGAAGCUGCCUUGGUAAAAAGUCAAAGGGAACUCAACCUAGGCCAGGGGUAAGCUCGUAUUUGAACUAGAAAGAGAAAUUCAAUUCUUCUGGGAGAAAAGGAAAAGAUGCUGAGCUACAAGGAGGCUGGGCUCACACAGCCAGAUUAAGACAUCUUGCCUAGAGCACAUGGCGUCUCUGUAUCAGACUUCUGUAGUCCCCAAACAGUGAAUCAGUCUCUGCAAGAGACACCUGCACUCGCAGGCCUGGAUACAGAAAGGUAUGUAGAAAGCAAGUCUGCUAGCAAUUUCUUUUUUUUAAAGGUGACUCUAUUCCAAAUAAAGUAUUCAAAUGAUACAUUA